rnacentral:rRNA from 1 species
GAUAACCAGUCGAAAGAUUGGCUAAUACCGGAUAAGCCCACGGUCUCUUCGGAGACUGAGGGAAAAGGUGGCCUCUGUAUACAAGCUAUCACAACCAGAUGAGUCCGCGGCCCAUCAGCUAGUUGGCGGGGUAAUGGCCCACCAAGGCGACGACGGGUAGCUGGUCUGAGAGGACGAUCAGCCACACUGGAACUGAGACACGGUCCAGACUCCUACGGGAGGCAGCAGUGGGGAAUUUUGCGCAAUGGGCGAAAGCCUGACGCAGCAACGCCGCGUGUGUGAUGAAGGUCUUUGGAUUGUAAAGCACUUUCGACCGGGACGAAACCGUAAAGCCUAAUACGCUUUGCCUUGACGGUACCGGGAGAAGAAGCACCGGCUAACUCUGUGCCAGCAGCCGCGGUAAUACAGAGGGUGCAAGCGUUGUUCGGAAUUAUUGGGCGUAAAGCGCGUGUAGGCGGCUUUGCAAGUCGGGUGUGAAAGCCCUCAGCUCAACUGAGGAAGUGCGCCCGAAACUGCAGAGCUUGAGUGCCGGAGAGGGUGGCGGAAUUCCCCAAGUAGAGGUGAAAUUCGUAGAUAUGGGGAGGAACACCGGUGGCGAAGGCGGCCACCUGGACGGUAACUGACGCUGAGACGCGAAAGCGUGGGUAGCAAACAGGAUUAGAUACCCUGGUAGUCCACGCCGGUAACGAUGAGAACUAGGUGUCGNGGGAGUUGACCCCCG